CAGCUCUUCAAGUGGUCGGGAUGAUUAUUGGGCUUAAAGUGUCCGUAGCCGGUUUAGUAAGUUCCUGGUAAAAUCGGGUAGCUUAACUAUCUGUGUGCUAGGAAUACUGCUAAUACUAGAGGGCGGGAGAGGUCUGAGGUACUGCAGGGGUAGGGGUGAAAUCUUAUAAUCCUUGUAGGACCACCAGUGGCGAAGGCGUCAGACUGGAACGCGCCUGACGGUGAGGGACGAAAGCCAGGGGAGCGAACCGGAUUAGAUACCCGAGUAGUCC
rnacentral:rRNA from 1 species